rnacentral:sRNA from 1 species
UGACAGAAGAAGCAGAUGUCACUGUGGGGCCACUGAUCUUCCUGGACAGGAGUGGUGACCAUGAAGUAGAGCAGUGGGCUUUGCCUUCUGACACCUCAGUGGUGCUGCUGGGCGUAGGCCUGGCUGUGGUGGUGUCCCUGACUCUGACUGCUGUUAUCCUGGUUCUCACCAGGAGGUGUCGCACUGCCUCCCACCCUGUGUCUGCUUCCGAAUAAAAGAAGAAAGCAAUA